CGAAUAGUUGUCUACAGUUUAUUCCAAUGUAUACAAUAUACAUGGUGAAGUGGACCAAGAAUUUUCAACCUUGUUAAAAAAAAAGGAUUUAUGUGAAGGUUAAGACAAACAGAAAGGUAAAAGAUUCUUCUCCUACCCCUCUCUCAACCACUGAUAAAGAGCCUAGUUGAAUUUGAAUUUAAGAGCUAGCUCAUGUGAGCAACAAUAGAACGACUUUGAAUAUAUAAACUAUACAAGAGAAAAUGAUAAGUAUACAAUGCUUUAAACUUCCCUUCUUUUCUAUGUUUAUGCUCAAAUCUUGUCUUCAUCUUUAUUUUUUGUUUGUUUCAAAUAUUUGGGGAAUGCGAUUUUGGUUUUGAAACUGAUGGAGAUGAAAUUAAGGAACCAAAUGAUGAGUGUUUUCAAAAGAAGACGCAACCAUGAUGUGAACCGAACAGCUUUUAGCUAUUGAGGAUUAAUUUUGGUCGAGGAUGGUUCUUUCUUUCUUUUAUUAUUAUUAUUAUUAUUUUUGUGGGUUUUGAACUUUUGUCCUUCUCAAUAGAUACACCUACUUGACUUGGCCAAAAUUGGUAAUUCUGAUGGUUCCUUAGUUCAUCAUUCCUCUAUGAAAUUUUAGUUUUGAUUUUAGAAGUAUUCUUUCUCUCAGGACUUCCAAAUCUAUCUUCAUACUUCAUUUUGAUUGACAUGGUUUGGAUGAAUUAGAAUAAUUUUCAAUAGUUUCUGGAUGGUGGGGUGGUUAACAAAGUUUGUUGCAUGUUUUCUCAAUGUGCAAUUGUGUUAAUUCUAAAAUUUGAAUUUGUAGUCGCAACUUAAACCAUUCACAUUUUAAGUGAUGGAUAGUACAGUUAACAUGGAUGUGGACAAGACUUUUGUUCGAGAUUUGGACUACUGAAACACAACCGUGUCUGGCUAUGAGUUGAAUGAGGAAAAUAAACUGUACAAGUCCUCUGUGAUGGUUACAGCCGGUGCAAAUCAGGCAUUCGUUAACCUUGUUCUUACAUUGUGUGAUGCUGGGGAUUCUGUGGUUAUGUUUGCUCCGUAUUACUUCAAUGCCUACAUGUCUUUUCAAAUGACUGGUGUCACUAAUAUAUUGGUUGGUCCCAGUGACCCAAAAACACUUCAUCCUGAUCCAGAUAAUUGAAGUGAUAUCGGGUUGAAAGCUAAGCGAUUGUGUAGAAAUGGUCAAGCGACCGUUGAAAAUUGAAGACUGAGAAGGCAUUUAGGAUUUUUAAUUAUUUAAUUCUUGUAUUAGAAUUUUUUUUUCAUGUACUAUUGUAGAAAUGUAUAUAUAAACAUAAUAUUAAUAUUUUAUUUUGUGUAUUCAAAUGUAAAAGACAAAUGUUAUAGUUUCUAACAUAAUAUGAAUUUCAUUGAUUUGUUGGCGUGUGAAAAA